CGCGCCCUGCAGUGUUCGUGCUGCGAACUGAUACGCUCUUUGCCUACUCAAUUAUUAAGGGAGCUGCCCCUUGCGGGGAGAUGUUAUGCCGCACACCGGACAACAGAUGCCCGCAAGGAUGUUCCCACCUUGCCUGGACUAGGUUCUGGGGCUUGUGAGCACACGGCACAACGUGGGGCGCGA
rnacentral:other from 1 species